CGCCUUUCGGCAGACACAUACUACUAAAAUUUAAACGAUCUAUCAGAGAAGAUUAGCAAGGCCCCCUGCGCAAAGGAUGACACGCCAAUUUGUGAAGCGUUCCAUAUGUAA